rnacentral:rRNA from 1 species
AACGCUAGCUACAGGCUUAACACAUGCAAGUCGAGGGGCAGCAUGAUUGAAGCUUGCUUCAAUUGAUGGCGACCGGCGCACGGGUGAGUAACGCGUAUCCAACCUUCCGUACACUCAGGAAUAGCCUUUCGAAAGAAAGAUUAAUACCUGAUGGUAUGAUGAGAUUGCAUGAAAUCAUCAUUAAAGAUUCAUCGGUGUACGAUGGGGAUGCGUUCCAUUAGAUAGUAGGCGGGGUAACGGCCCACCUAGUCUACGAUGGAUAGGGGUUCUGAGAGGAAGGUCCCCCACAUUGGAACUGAGACACGGUCCAAACUCCUACGGGAGGCAGCAGUGAGGAAUAUUGGUCAAUGGGCGCGAGCCUGAACCAGCCAAGUAGCGUGAAGGAUGAAGGUCCUACGGAUUGUAAACUUCUUUUAUAAGGGAAUAAAGUCACCCACGUGUGGGUGUUUGUAUGUACCUUAUGAAUAAGCAUCGGCUAACUCCGUGCCAGCAGCCGCGGUAAUACGGAGGAUGCGAGCGUUAUCCGGAUUUAUUGGGUUUAAAGGGAGCGUAGACGGGUCGUUAAGUCAGCUGUGAAAGUUUGAGGCUCAACCUUAAAAUUGCAGUUGAUACUGGCGUCCUUGAGUACGGUUGAGGCAGGCGGAAUUCGUGGUGUAGCGGUGAAAUGCAUAGAUAUCACGAAGAACUCCGAUUG